rnacentral:rRNA from 1 species
ACGGAAGGCAGCAGUGGGGAAUAUUGGGCAAUGGGCGAAAGCCUGACCCAGCAACGCCGCGUGAAGGAAGAAGGUCUUCGGAUUGUAAACUUCUUUUAUGAGGGACGAAGGACGUGACGGUACCUCAUGAAUAAGCCACGGCUAACUACGUGCCAGCAGCCGCGGUAAUACGUAGGUGGCGAGCGUUAUCCGGAUUUACUGGGUGUAAAGGGAGCGCAGGCGGUAACGCAAGCCAGAGGUGAAAACCCGGGGCUCAACCCCGAGGAUUGCCUUUGGAACUGUGGAACUGGAGUGCUGGAGGGGCAGGCGGAAUUCCUGGUGUAGCGGUGAAAUGCGUAGAUAUCAGGAGGAACACCGGUGGCGAAGGCGGCCUGCUGGACAGUAACUGACGCUGAGGCUCGAAAGCGUGGGGAGCAAACAGGAUUAGAUACCCUGGUA